rnacentral:lncRNA from 1 species
CUCAGACCUAACAGAUGGUGCCCGUGACUCGACAGCAGGUGAGAGACUAUAAUUUUCCCAGUUUUUUUUUUUUUUUUUUGGUCCCCUGCUUUUCAAGAUUCUUCACUUCUACACUCACAAAUCCAUAUCCUCAACUGCUGUUUCUCAACCAACACCCACCUGAAUUCUGCCUUGCCACCUCAACGUCAUCCUGAUAGAAUAACAGGUCUAAAUCAAAGACACCUUUCCCUCUACCUCACUUGGGUCCAUAAAUAUGACAGUGCCAUGUCUCCUCAUAACAUCUUGUUUCUUUGUUUUUU